AUUUUAUCACUUUAUUUAUGAUUGCUUUAUUUAGAAAGUUUCUAUCACAAGAAUAACAUUAACCCUUUUUUCAAGAAGAAGAAAAAUGAAAAUUUGAUUCAACGUCAAGUAUUUUCUCAAAGACAAAACUACCCAACCAUUUAAAACCCUUAUAUUCAAUCCAUUUCUACCAUUCCCAAUUUCUCAAAAUUUUCAUCUUCAACCAUUUUCAAACUCU
rnacentral:lncRNA from 1 species